UGCUCUACGUACAUUCCGCAGAAUUUAGCCUAAAUUCAAAAAUGUAUGAAGGGUAUCGCUAUUUGACGUCUAUAAUCAUAUUUAACGUGUACGAGAAAACAUUAAACUACAUAGUCUGCAUUUAUUAUAAUAUAUAAAACUAAAAAGACGGCGAAACUGUCACAACGGUUGCUUCUACAGUAGUUCUAGUGUGGAUAUUACCAAGACAGGUUUUCAUAUCAAGCGAUGAAAAGUCUUAUUCUAAUCACUCUCGUGUGCCUCGUCUCGGCCAUGGCGUUCAACUAUGGAAAUGGAAAUGGAAAUGGAAAUAUAUUUAACAAUUGCAUCAGAGCUGGAGGUUUGUGUGGCGGAAUAGGCGGUGGAAUAGGCGGCGGAACAGGAGGUGGAAUAGGGGGCGGAAUAGGCGGUGGAAUGGGUAGGUUCUGCUGUUCCGACACCAGGUGCAAACUGUCCUCUCGUGGAGUGUUGACUUGCCAGUACAGGUGGAGAUAAAACAUUUCGCUUGCACACAAUAAACCAAGUUACCCAAUUCACUG